rnacentral:rRNA from 1 species
GACGUAGGGCGCGAGCGUGUCCGGAUUUAUUGGGCGUAAAGAGCUCGUAGGCGGCUUGUCGCGUCGACUGUGAAAACCCGCGGCUCAACCGCGGGCCUGCAGCCGAUACGGGCAGGCUAGAGUUCGGUAGGGGAGACUGGAAUUCCUGGUGUAGCGGUGAAAUGCGCAGAUAUCAGGAGGAACACCGAUGGCGAAGGCAGCCCCCUGGGCUGAGAUUGACGCUCAGGCACGAAAGCGUGGGGAGCAAACAGG